CCGGGCCGGGCAGGGGACGGCGUGUCCACGUGUGUCCCCGCACACGCCCCGGAGCCGGCGCGCAGGCGGGGCAGUGGCCGCCGCUGUAAGUGUUCCUUCCCUGUCCGUCGCCCCCGUCCCCGUGCUUCCUGCCGGGUCCCGCCGCGCUCGGCUGGACGGGCCGGCGUCCCUGUCCCGCAGUGCUCCGCCACGCCUCGUGCGAGGGAGGCGCUGCUGGAAGUGACAUUUUCCGUUCCUGCCUUUCCUCACCAACUAAAUGGCUGCGCCCAGAGCAUAGGGAGCCGUGGAGGAGGCGGAAUGCAAGGCAGUAAGGAGCCUGCGGCCGGCGAUCGCUGCUGUCCUUUUUCACGCAGCUUGGAUCGAUGGCAUCCUUGUGGGCUGCUGGUGUCCUGAAAGAACUUUAAACGUGGAUGUGUUCGACCCUCUCAAAUCUGUUCCACUCAUUGUCCUCUUUACAGUGGAAACACAGUACAAGAGGUGGAUAAACUACAAUUUCAAUACUGUAAUCUUAUUCAAAAUUAUUUUUAGCACCGGGAGACUGAAUAUUCUCCUUCUGGAGUCAUCAUAUGUCAGAAUUGUUCAAGGCUUUGUAAAACUGUUGCCCAAUAGGUGAACAUGGAGCCACAGCUAGACCCCAUGAAGGAUGAUUUGCCUUUAAUGGCAAACACUAGUUACAUGCUUCUAAAGCACUAUGUAUUGGACUUGGAUGUGGAUUUUAAAAGUAAAGUUAUUGAAGGCAGCAUAGUUUUGUUCUUUGAGACUGGGAGCCAGUACAGGAAAACCAUCAGUGCUAGCAAAGAAUGCUGCCAGUCACAGUUUGACGAAACCUGUAAAAUGAGGGCAUCUGAACCCUGCCACAUUCCUAUGAUAAAUGUUAGUACCUGUUCAUCUAAAACGGAAUGUAAUGAUUUUGCUGUCAGUGGUAAAGAAGAGGAAGCUACUUCUGAUGGAAAUAGUAACCAUAGAAACAAUGAACAGGCUUCUGGGAUUUCUAGUUCAAAGGACUGCUGUGACAUAGAGGAUCAUGGAAACAAGGAUUUUCUGCUGGUAUUGGACUGCUGUGAUUUAUCUGUGCUAAAGGUUGAAGAGUUAGAUGUUGCUGCUGUGUCAGGCAUUGAAAAAUUUACAAGGUCUGCCAAGCUAACUGUUGUUUCAAAGGAGCUGGAAAAUAUCAGGAAUCAGAUUGUACAUGAACUUGUGACUUUACCUGCAGAUCACUGGAAGGAACAGCUAUACUAUUUUACUCACUGUAGCCAGGCACCUGGCUGUGGGGAGCUUCUGUUUAGUACUGGCACCUGGAGCUUGGAGAUAAGGAAAUCAGGAAUACAGUCUCCAGCGGACUUUCCUCAUGCAAUAAGAAUAUGGUACAAAACCAAGCCAGAGGGAAGAUCUGUUACAUGGACUACAGACCAGAGUGGCAGGCCAUGUGUUUACACAAUGGGAUCACCAAUAAACAACAGAGCCCUCUUUCCAUGCCAAGAACCACCAACUGCCUUGUCAACAUGGCAAGCCUCAGUUCGAACAGCUGCAGGCUUUGUUGUGUUAAUGAGUGGUGAAAACUCAGCAGAACCAGUACAGCUUCGAGAAGGUAUCUUGAGCUGGUACUACUAUGUGUCUAUGCCAAUGCCAGCAUCCACCUUCACUAUUGCAGUGGGGUGCUGGCAGGAAGUUAAACAGCAGUCCUUCAAACAAAAAGCUGCUAUUGGAACGAACACUGAAUUUUCCUUGCCAUCAUCACAAACUGAUUUAAGGUGGCAUGAAGAAAUCUGUGGUCAUGUGGAGUAUCCCUGCCGUUUCCAAAAUCCUGCUGCCAGGUUGCAAGCAGUCAUUCCUUAUAGAGUCUUUGCUCCUUGGUGCCUUAUGGAAAGCUGUGAAGAAUAUUUGCUUCAGCUAGUUCCUCAGUGCCUCUCAGCUGCUUAUGCCACACUGGGUACCCACCCCUUUUCCAGGCUUGAUGUUCUGAUAGUUCCUUCCAACUUUUCCAGCCUGGGAAUGGCUAGCCCACACAUCAUCUUUCUGUCACAGAGCGUACUGCCAGGAGGAAGCCAUCUCUGUGGAACUCGUGUGUGCCACGAAAUUGCUCAUGCUUGGUUUGGACUAGCCAUUGGUGCUCGUGAUUGGACAGAAGAAUGGAUAAGUGAAGGGUUUGCCACUUUUUUAGAAGAUAUAUUUUGGGCUAGAGCACAACAGCAGCUGCCACAUGAUGAAAUAAAAGAGCAACAGGAAUUGAAAGCUUUACUUCGCUGGCGCAGACUCAGAGAUGAGGUGCAAAACUCUGAAGAAGAGCUGCAAGUUUUAAGGCCCAAAAAGGAGAACACAGGAGAAGUGAGUGAGUCUGGAGCCUCUGUUGUCAAAUAUGGUCUUAAAGCAGAAAAAAUCUUCAUGCAGGUUCACUAUUUGAAAGGUUAUUUUCUUUUACGAUCUCUGGCAAGGAAAAUAGGAGAGGUCUCAUACCUUGCAUCUUUACGGAAAUUUGUCAUUAAGUUCCAUGGGCAGCUUGUCCUUUCUCAGGAUUUUCUUAGCAUGCUGUUGGAAGACAUUCCUAAACAAAAACAGUCUGGGUUAACUGUAGAAAGUAUCUUCCAGAACUGGCUGGAUUCUUCUGGAAUACCAAAGCCCCUGCUGGAGGAGGGAGAGACGUGGAAGGAGUGUCAGCUCGUCCAGCAAGUGAGCGGCGAGGUCACAAAAUGGAUUCAGACAAACCGGAGGAUCAGAAAAAGCAGCAAAAAGAAAAUGAAGCAGGAUGAAGUUGUUUUCCAGCAGCUUCUCCCUGACCAGCUGGUCUUACUUCUGGAGUUCCUCUUGGAGGAGAAGACAUUGUGUCCUAGAAUACUGCAGUGCUUAGAGAGAACAUACCAGCUCCAGGAGCAAGAUGCUGAGGUUCGUCAUCGGUGGUGUGAACUUGUCAUUAAACAUAAAUAUGAGCCUGGGUAUGGAGACAUUGAGAGAUUCCUUAGAGAGGAUCAGGCUAUGGGUGUGUAUCUCUAUGGUGAAUUAAUGGUGAAUGAAGAUGCAAAGCAACAAGAACUUGCACGGAAAUGCUUUGCUGCAGCACAAGAACAUAUGGAUGCAUCCUCAGCCAAAGUGGUGGCAGAGAUGUUAUUCUGAAAAGCCCAGCAGCGGGAGCAGUGAGUUACAUACAUGUAGGCAUAGCUGGAGAACGUGGAGAAUGGCUUUGUUGUAAUGGACUAUACAAGAGGCAACUGUAAGUCCAAAUGGCCAAAGAAGGCCAGGCUCUGCCUACAGUUGUUUCCCAUCCUGUAUUCCUAACUCUGCUUACAAAAGUUUCAAUUGUGCAAGGACCAUUUCUGUUUAAUAGAGCUGCGUUUUGACUUGACAGGCAGCAUAGUCUUUGAAAAAAAGCCUGAUCCCACAGUGGAAAUAUGAAACUGUGGACUUGGAAGCAAAUAUCGUGUGAGAACUAGCUGAUAAUUCAGGUUUUUUUGUGUUAAGGGUAUGAAGGUUUUGAAGAUUGAUUAUGAGGUAAGAAAAGUAGCCUUAACAGGAAGAAGCUAGCUUGUUUAUGAAAUUCAAGGAGCGGAAUCACCAGAAAAAGCUGAAUUGCAAAAAUAUUUAUGGGAAUGAUGAUUGCCAUAGGCUAUAAAUUUGCAAAGAUACUUUCCAAUUCUCUGUCUGAGCAGUUGGAGGUAGCCUUACAGUGUAUGCACAUGCAUGUUUAAUGUAUAACCCAUUAAGAUUUGUAUGAAAGUUUCUUAGAGUACAGCAUUUUUGGUUAAUCAAAUGACUCAUCCUACAGACUGAUUGCUGUGGUUGUUCACAAACUUUACAGCUGAUUUGUGGUAUCAAAAUUCAGUCUUCUAAUUUAGCAAAAAAAAUUGUCACCUAAUUGAUACCAAGGAAAAAUCUUAAUUUUCUUCUGUUCUAGCAGUACUAGAACUGUGAGUUCCGCUUGGUUUUGUAGUGGUUUUUUGCUAUGUUUAUAUGAAAUACAGCCAAUGACAGAUACUAUGAAAGCAAAUGUGAUUAUGAAAAGCCAUGUUGUUCUUCUGUAUAGACAAGAACUGUGCCUGCCAAGAAAACUUUUUGGGAAAGGUGAAUCAGACUGUAGAGUGGCAGGAUAUCAGUGGUGGGGUAGGAGAGACACCUUUUAAAACAGAGCUAAAGAGACUCUUUAGUGUACUCCCAAUUAUCAAGGACUCAUAGGAAUUUGAUUUAUGUUCAACAGUUCUUAAUCUUAAUCUGGUAGGUGUCUUCAAGUGUCUGAAGGCCAGAAACAAUAAAAUCAAAAUUUCUACAAGUUUCUGAUGGAAAGAUCACAGACAACUCUUUUAAUAGAUCUUCUGCUAAACUCCGAUGGUACUAGGAUUUCAUUGACCCAGGACAUCAAAGGAAGGAUUAUGUGACUGCUAAAACAAUCAGCUGACAGAAAUAUUUACCUUUCUGUAUUUCUAGAGGUCCACCGUAACUGAGAACGCAAGACAAACUACACACACAUGAGUUUCUCUGGGUCUAGGUAAUUCUUUGAAACAAGAAUUUUGGGAUUUAUCCUUGUGCUUUGGUAAUACAAUCAUUCUGGUUUGCAGAUGCCAAAGAUUCUUGAUUUGAACAACUUUAUUAAUUUGGGCAUUCUGAAAAUGGAUGGAGCUGUAUUGUGUACUUAAAAUUUUGUUUGUAACUUCUAUGUCAUAUUUAUAAAACCUCAGUGUGAAAUCAGCAGGGGCUGGGGUGGGGCUUGUAAGAUUAGAUAGAAGCAGAAAUAAACUGUGGAAAGUUACCUGCUAUCCUCCUAGUGAUGGGGUGGGACUGAAGAAAAAACAAAGAUCAUCAUGCUCUCUCUGUCAUGUUUAGGUGAAAUUUUACUAGAAGUGUCAGACCUCCCAUUUUCUGAAAGUGUCUUUCGUACUUUUGUGAUACUUAUUUUGCAAUGAUAUCUCAAGUGUAUCCUUUCCUGAUCAAUGAAUCUCUACAUUUUUAGAAGACAUCUUCAUUGUUCCUUUCAGAGAGUAAGAAUUUAAACCAAAAAACAAAAAUCUGUGAACUUAUUUCCCUUGUACUCUAUUGUUUUAUAUCAAAUCCUCUUUGAUAAUAAUAAAAUUAUCAAAUUUUUUUCGAGUA